ACUCGAAGCCUGUUCGUGGUUUCAUGUAUUAUAUUACCUUUGAGGCCAAGGAUAAGAAUAAGGAUGACAAUCAUGUGGAAACCUUUGAAGCAAAGGUGUAUUUGGGAAUUACGGAUACGGAUACGGAUGUCUUGAUAUGCAGGUGUAAAAAAGUUACUAUAAUCCACCAAGAUAUUCACUCCUGAGAGGCAUGUGAUAGACUAGAGCUUGUGAUUUGGUUGGCUCACUUCUGUUUAUCGUGUGUAUUGGGUUUCUUUUGGAUGGUUGGUAAGGUUGGGUUAGAGUCGACCACUAAGUUUAGGUUGCUAUUGGAACACCAUGGAUUUUGGGAGAAGAAACACCAUGGAUUUCGAAGAUUAUGGUAUUAUUCAGUGAUCUAGUUCGUGUUUGAGGCCUCCUUCCCUUCCUUUGUGAGGAUAAAAAAAAUAAAAAAAUAUUUUCUUUAUGUGAUUAAAACAACUACUAACAUUUUAGCUCUGUGGGCUGUAUUUUAAUUAUUUCUUUGAUAUUUGCUUUUCUUUUUCUUAGAUUUUAGAUUUCAGCUUUGUUGGCUGUAUUGAAUUUUUUUUUGAAUUGUUUAUCUAGAAUAUAUGUAGACAUAGAAAUGUUUGGUGCAUUACAUUUGUUUUAAAAAUCGAAAUUAUAUUCGAAUUUAAUAGUAA